GAGAGGGGCUUCUGGCCAAGUUAAGUCAGAGGCACACUCUCUUACAGACUAAGAGUUUUUAAAGAUUUAGGGUGCGAGAGUUUAUCAGAGACUUGGACUGCUUCUGUGUCUCUUUGUUGUGUUUACCUGGGAGGGAGAGUUGUGUGUCUGUUCCCAUACGUCUUCCUGCAGCUGCAGGCACACCUGCAAAUCCACUUUUAUCUUUUUUUUUUUUUUUUUUUUUUUUUUAGAUGUAGUUUCACUCUUUUGCCCAGGCUGGAUUGCAAUGGCACGAUCUCAGCUCGCUGCAACCUCUGCCUCCUGGGUUCAAGCAGUUCUCCUGCCUCAGCCUCCUGAGUAGCCAGGAUUACAGGUGACUGCCACCACGCCCAGCUAAUUUUUGUAUUUUUAGUAGAUACAGGUUUCACCAUGUUGGCCAGGCUGGUCUUGAACUCCUGACCUCAGGUGAUGCACCUGCCUCGGCCUCCAAAAUUGCUGGGAUUAUGGGCGUGAGCCAGUGCACCUGGCCUCGAGUCUGCUUUUAGUUUCCCUAUCUUAGUGCACCUGAAGGGAAAGGAAUAUGCUUAUUAAGUCCCACUGUUUUACUGAGGCCCGUUGUAUGAGGGUGAAGUCUGGCAGGUAGUAAAAUUUUCCAGGCUAGCCAUCAACUGCACCAUUAAAACUAAAACUGGAAAAGAUACAUGAUGUAUUUCAGGCUCCGGCAAUAUGCAGUGCACCAUGAGAUCGCUAAGAGACGGGGAGCUCACAGGACACAGAGAGAAGGUGGCUGUCUGCAAAUGAGGAACAAAGACUUCACUGAAAACUGAACCUCGAUCUUAGAUUUCUAGCCUCCAGAACUGUGUGAAAAUAAAUAUUUGUCAUUUAAGCCACCCAGCCUAUGAUACUUUUGUUAUGGCAGCCCAAGGUGGUGAAUACAAUGGGCAACUACAUUUAUUAAGACAUAUUAAACACUUUUUAAAUGUGUGUGAAUUUUAUUUUAUAUUAACUAUACUUCAAUAAAAUUGAUUAAAAGAUGCUCUAAGGACAGCACACUGUUAGCAAUGUGAUUGAAUGAGAA
rnacentral:lncRNA from 1 species